UACGUAGGGUGCGAGCGUUGUCCGGAAUUAUUGGGCGUAAAGAGCUUGUAGGCGGUUUGUCGCGUCUGCUGUGAAAAUCCGGGGCUCAACCCCGGACUUGCAGUGGGUACGGGCAGACUAGAGUGUGGUAGGGGAGACUGGAAUUCCUGGUGUAGCGGUGAAAUGCGCAGAUAUCAGGAGGAACACCGAUGGCGGAGGCAGGUCUCUGGGCCACUACUGACGCUGAGAAGCGAAAGCAUGGGGAGCGAACAGG
rnacentral:rRNA from 1 species